rnacentral:tRNA from 1 species
GCGCCAGUGAUGGAAUCGGUAGACAUGAGGGAUUCAAAAUCCCUUGCCUUCGGGCGUGUGAGUUCGAGUCUCACCUGGCGCACCA